rnacentral:rRNA from 1 species
UACGGAGGGUGCAAGCGUUAUCCGGAUUCACUGGGUUUAAAGGGUGCGUAGGCGGACACUUAAGUCCGUGGUGAAAUCUCUGGGCUUAACCCAGAAACUGCCAUUGAUACUAUUUGUCUUGAAUACUUUGGAGGUAAGCGGAAUAUGUCAUGUAGCGGUGAAAUGCUUAGAUAUGACAUAGAACACCAAUUGCGAAGGCAGCUUACUACACAGUAAUUGACACUGAGGCACGAAAGCGUGGGGAUCAAACAGG